GCAGCUUUAGCUCACUUGGGAGAGCGCCAGACUGAAGUCCACUUCAGCCUCUACAAGCAUUCUGUGCGGUAUCUGGAGGUACUGUGUUCGAUCCACAGAAGCUGCA
rnacentral:tRNA from 1 species